GCCCAUUGUACUCACGCUGAGGGGGGCUGGGGGGGGCUGCAGGCCUUCUCUACCGUUGGGUUUAUCAGCCGGGCCCUAGGUGACCUUUGGACUUGCGAAGCGAGAGGCUUGCGGCCUAGGUGGGGGGCUUUUCCGCUGGCGGCGGCGGGGUCGGCUUUAGUCCAGAAAGAAGACACUGCGCUUCCGGGGUCCAGUUCCUCUUCGCAGUGUCCCCCAUCUGCGAUGCGGGGAGCCAGAGACUCGCUCUGCAAAAGACAAGGUCGCCUGCAGCUGCCCCGAGUCUUGAAGGCCGCGUAGAGAAGGCACCCAGGAAGCCGUUGAAGGAAAAGGUGUUUUUUCUUUCUUCCCCUUCUCACUUAAGCCUGGCUGGGAAGGAAGCCAUGGGCCUUUCAGCGCCAUGGGAGUUUCUACCACAUCUCCCUGGGGACCCCCGAGGGGGAAAGAAGGAGACACAAGCGCACCCACACUUCCAGGCCCGGCCCUGGCUUGUACAAGAGCAGUGGUGACCAGUGACAGGCUCCUUAGAUCCACAGUUCAGAGACAAGUAACGCCAGGACAGACACCACGCCUUGCCCUCUUAGAGCCUUAGGAUCCUAAUAACCAAUUCUAAACAACUGAGUGAGACCACCAGGGAAAACAAACCACAGGUCCAACAACUAGUGUUCAUACUUUCCAGUCUGUGAAAGCAGGAGACCAGUUCCCAGCGGGAAAUCCUGGAAGCUGAGAAACCUUGAGCUCCGGAGCUGGGCUUGAAGGGUCUGGGCACAUCAUAGACAUUCAGAAUCAGCAGGAAGAAUGCCAAGGAACUUUUGAGCACAUUUUUCUAUCGUUUCCACUUUCAAAGAUAGUUAGGAAGACCCUGGGGCUAGGUUAGGAAUAGAAAGGAAGUUUAGCAUCGAGGAAGAAGGGUCUAGCGGUUUUCCUCUGCUAGAUACAGGAUCAAAUGUCUUGGAUAUGUCAAGGCUGACGUCAUCUGCGCAGGACAGGCUGCCAAGAGUGAGGGUACCUCUUUGGAGGACUGGGUGGGUUCCAGGUGCCUGGGUUCACCUGUGGGAACCCUGGAGAAGGACGGGGUGGCUGUGUGUGAGUGUGUGAGGAGUCCUUCUAAAGGUUUCCACCUUUACCUGUCAAAGGAGUCUUAAGUUCAUGGAAAUAAAGAUCCUUCAUGUCACCUUCUUGCUUUCUAGGUUGUUGUGACAUAUGGUAGAUCCUUGCCACUUGUAAUUCUACCCAGUAGGAAAACUCUUGGCCUCCCCAUCACCAUUCAAACAGGAUAAUAAAGUGUUCAGAGUAAAUGUC